AAUAUUGGACAAUGGGCGAAAGCCUGAUCCAGCCAUGCCGCGUGUGUGAAGAAGGUUUUCGGAUCGUAAAACUCUGUCAUUGGGGAAGAAUAAAUGACGGUACCCAAUGAGGAAGCCCCGGCUAACUACGUGCCAGCAGCCGCGGUAAUACGUAGGGGGCGAGCGUUGUCCGGAAUUACAGGGCGUAAAGGGUACGGAGGCGGCUAUAUAAGUCAGGUGUGAAAUACCAGUGCUUAACACUGGAAUUGCAUUUGAAACUGUGUAGCUUGAGUGCAGGAGAGGAAAGUGGAAUUCCUAGUGUAGCGGUGAAAUGCGUAGAGAUUAGGAGGAACACCAGUGGCGAAGGCGACUUUCUGGACUGUAACUGACGCUGAGGCACGAAAGCGUGGGGAGCAAACA
rnacentral:rRNA from 1 species